CGUACGAGGUACGUAGUUCGUACGCGUACGGCGUACGACGGACGACGCCGGCGGCGUAGCCUAAUACAGUGCAAGUCGAGCGGCCGGAUUGGGGCUUGCCUUGAUUCGGCAGCGGCGGACGGGUGAGUAACACGUGGCAACCUGCCCGCAAGACCGGAUAACUCCGGGAAACCGAGCUAAUACCGGAUAACACCGAAGACCGCAUGGUCUUCGGUGAAAGGCGGCCUUUGGGCUGUCACUUGCGGAUGGGCCCGCGGCGCAUUAGCUAGUUGGUGAGGUAACGGCUCACCAAGGCGACGAUGCGUAGCCGGCCUGAGAGGGUGACCGGCCACACUGGGACUGAGACACGGCCCAGACUCCUACGGGAGGCAGCAGUAGGGAAUCUUCCGCAAUGGGCGGAAGCCUGACGGAGCGACGCCGCGUGAGCGAAGAAGGCCUUCGGGUCGUAAAGCUCUGUUGUGAGGGACGAAGGAGCGCCGUUCGAAGAGGGCGGCGCGGUGACGGUACCUCACGAGAAAGCCCCGGCUAACUACGUG
rnacentral:rRNA from 1 species